rnacentral:rRNA from 1 species
UAGGGAAUCUUCGGCAAUGGGGGCAACCCUGACCGAGCAACGCCGCGUGAGUGAAGAAGGUUUUCGGAUCGUAAAGCUCUGUUGUAAGAGAAGAACGUGUGUGAGAGUGGAAAGUUCACACAGUGACGGUAACUUACCAGAAAGGGACGGCUAACUACGUGCCAGCAGCCGCGGUAAUACGUAGGUCCCGAGCGUUGUCCGGAUUUAUUGGGCGUAAAGCGAGCGCAGGCGGUUUAAUAAGUCUGAAGUUAAAGGCAGUGGCUUAACCAUUGUUCGCUUUGGAAACUGUUAAACUUGAGUGCAGAAGGGGGGAGUGGAAUUCCAUGUGUAGCGGUGAAAUGCGUAGAUAUAUGGAGGAACACCGGUGGCGAAAGCGGCUCUCUGGUCUGUAACUGACGCUGAGGCCCGAAAGCGUGGGGAGCAAACAGG